AUGAACGCUGGCGGCGUGCUUAACACAUGCAAGUCGAACGAAGCACUUUAUUUGAUUUCCUUCGGGACUGAUUAUUUUGUGACUGAGUGGCGGACGGGUGAGUAACGCGUGGGUAACCUGCCUUGUACAGGGGGAUAACAGUUGGAAACGGCUGCUAAUACCGCAUAAGCGCACGGCAUCGCAUGAUGCAGUGUGAUAAACUCCGGUGGUAUAAGAUGGACCCGCGUUGGAUUAGCUAGUUGGUGAGGUAACGGCCCACCAAGGCGACGAUCCAUAGCCGACCUGAGAGGGUGACCGGCCACAUUGGGACUGAGACACGGCCCAAACUCCUACGGGAGGCAGCAGUGGGGAAUAUUGCACAAUGGGCGAAAGCCUGAUGCAGCGACGCCGCGUGAGCGAAGAAGUAUUUCGGUAUGUAAAGCUCUAUCAGCAGGGAAGAUAAUGACGGUACCUGACUAAGAAGCACCGGCUAAAUACGUG
rnacentral:rRNA from 1 species